rnacentral:rRNA from 1 species
CCUACGGGCGGCUGCAGUGGGGAAUAUUGGACAAUGGGGGCAACCCUGAUCCAGCCAUGCCGCGUGUGUGAAGAAGGCCCUCGGGUUGUAAAGCACUUUCAGUGAGGAAGAACGCCUGGUGGUUAAUACCCAUCAGGAAAGACAUCACUCACAGAAGAAGCACCGGCUAACUCCGUGCCAGCAGCCGCGGUAAUACGGAGGGUGCGAGCGUUAAUCGGAAUUACUGGGCGUAAAGCGCGCGUAGGUGGCUUGAUAAGCCGGUUGUGAAAGCCCCGGGCUCAACCUGGGAACGGCAUCCGGAACUGUCAAGCUAGAGUGCAGGAGAGGAAGGUAGAAUUCCCGGUGUAGCGGUGAAAUGCGUAGAGAUCGGGAGGAAUACCAGUGGCGAAGGCGGCCUUCUGGACUGACACUGACACUGAGGUGCGAAAGCGUGGGUAGCAAACAGGAUUAGAUACCCCUGUAGUA